GGCGCAAGCCUGAUCCAGCCAUGCCGCGUGCNGGAUGAAGGCCUUCGGGUUGUAAACUGCUUUUGUACGGAGGGAAGCGGCUUCCCCUAAUACGGGGAGCUAAUGACGGUACCGUAAGAAUAAGCACCGGCUAACUACGUGCCAGCAGCCGCGGUAAUACGUAGGGUGCGAGCGUUAAUCGGAAUUACUGGGCGUAAAGCGUGCGCAGGCGGUUAUAUAAGACAGAUGUGAAAUCCCCGGGCUCAACCUGGGACCUGCAUUUGUGACUGUNUAGCUAGAGUACGGUAGAGGGGGAUGGAAUUCCGCGUGUAGCAGUGAAAUGCGUAGAUAUGCGGAGGAACACCGAUGGCGAAGGCAAUCCCCUGGACC
rnacentral:rRNA from 1 species